rnacentral:lncRNA from 1 species
GUUAUAUAAGAGCCUGUUGCUGGGACUUUUAGUAGACAUAAUUUAUUUUCCAAAAUGCGAGGACUCCUUUAUCGUGUUGUAUUUAGUGCUAUCACCGUCACGGCAAUUGUUGCCACGGAUCCAGUUUGCCUGAAGAAAUAUGUUGAGCAAACAUUCUGUUUUGAGACUUUCGAUAUCUGGACAUACGAUUCGAUUUCCGAUACAUGCGUACACAUUCAUGACUGUCCCGGAGAAUAUUACAAGUUCGGAGAAAAUGCCUUCCAGUCCCGCGAGAGGUGCGAAAUGACGUGUACACCAGAAAAAGCCGUAGGACAUGUAAUGAACGGAUGAUGGUUAUAUGUUAGAGACCGAAAGUAAAUAGAUUGUAAACUCAGAA